rnacentral:rRNA from 1 species
AUGGCGCACGACUUGCAGGACGACUUGGAGUUCGUCGCCGCCGGCCACGAUUACGACGACUUCGAGUUCGACGAUGCCGGUGGCAACGGGUUCCGAACCUCCGGCGGCGCUUCCCAAUACCAGCUGGAUACUGAGAUGAACGACACUUCAGCCUUGGAGUACAGACAAGGGAAAGACAUGCAAGAGAUACCCUGGGAGAGGUUGAACUACAGCAGGGAUCAGUACCGUCAGAUGAGGCUAAAACAGUACAAGAACUACCAGAGCCUCGCUAGGCCGCGAGAUACACUGGAAAAGGAAUGCCAACGAGGAGAGACAAGAGACGCCUUCUACGAUUUUCACUUGAAUACAAGACAUGUCAAGCCAACAAUAGUGCACUUUCAGCUGAGAAACCUCCUGUGGGCUACGUCCAAGCAUGAUGUCUACGUGACACAGAACUAUUCUGUGAUGCAUUGGUCAUCCCUACUCCGGAGAGGAAAAGAAGUGCUCAAUGUGGCAGGCCCAAAUCAGGAUAUGCGGGGAGGUCGGCCCUUGUCAAGGGUGCAGAUCAGCACCAUGACGGUAAAAGACAACCUCCUGGCGGCUGGUGGUUUCCAUGGGGAGUUGAUCUGCAAGUAUGUCGAUCAACCUGGAGUGGCGUUCUGUACGAACCUGGCCGGCAACAAGAAGUCCAUCACCAACGCCGUCGAGAUCUACGAAUCACCUAACGGCUCCACCCGGGUGGUGGCUGCCAACAACGACUGCGUUGUUAGAACUUUUGACACGGAGAAGUACAGCCUGCUCACCCAGUUCCCCUUUGCGUGGUCCGUCAACAACAUGUCCGUCAGCCCCGACGGGAAGCUGCUCGCGGUGGUCGGCGACAGCUCCGACUGCCUCAUCGCCGAUUCAGGGUCCGGCAAGGAAAUCGCGAGCCUGCGCGGCCACGCGGAUUACUCGUUCGCGUCGGCGUGGCACCCGGACGGGCGCGUGCUGGCCACGGGCAACCAGGACAGGACGUGCCGGCUGUGGGACGUGCGCAACCCGUCCGAGGCGUUCGCGGUGCUGGAGGGGAGGAUCGGCGCCGUCAGGGGGCUCAGGUUCUCGCCGGACGGCCGCUUCCUGGCCGCGGCGGAGCCGGCGGACUUCGUCUGCGUCUACGACGUGGCGGCGGGGUACGCACGCGCGCAGGAGAUCGAUCUGUUCGGGGAGAUCGCCGGCGUGUCCUUCAGCCCCGACGACGGCGCGGAGGCGCUGUUCGUGGGCGUCGCCGACCGUACGUACGGCAGUCUGCUCGAGUUCCGCAGGCGACACCGUCACGCCUACCUCGACUGCUACCUGUGA